AGAGUGAACGCUGGCGGUAGGCCUAACACAUGCAAGUCGAACGGCAGCACAGUGGUAGCAAUACCAUGGGUGGCGAGUGGCGGACGGGUGAGGAAUACAUCGGAAUCUACCUUUUCGUGGGGGAUAACGUAGGGAAACUUACGCUAAUACCGCAUACGCCCUUUGGGGGAAAGCCGGGGAUCGCAAGACCUGGCGCGGAUAGAUGAGCCGAUGUCGGAUUAGCUAGUUGGUGAGGUAAUGGCUCACCAAGGCGACGAUCCGUAGCUGGUCUGAGAGGAUGAUCAGCCACACUGGAACUGAGACACGGUCCAGACCUCCUACGGGAGCAG
rnacentral:rRNA from 1 species